UUAUCAGCACGAGACUGUGCCAAUUUGAGUUUGAUUUUCUAUUUCAGGUGAAAUUCUUAGAGUUGCACAUCAUUUGUCAUGAAAAUCAGCGUGUCAAACAUUUUUGUAAAAUGAGAAUUGAAUCUUCUUUUAAGAUGCAAAUCAAUUAGAUGGCUAAUGAUAAUGAUGAGGCAUAAGGAGUGUAUUGCCAACAUAUAUACGGCAAUCAUUGUUUAUUUCUAAUUAAUUUUCAAGCUUCGUUAAGCCUCUGGAAACACCAUGCGCAUAAUCAUUCCCUUAUUCUAUCUUAGCAAAGUGGGUUACGUUUCUUAUUGCAAUCGGUACCCUGAGUUCUUUUCCUUAGUUUUCUAGCUUUGGAAAAUCCAUAAUUAAAAGGGCAUAUGAACUUAUGAUCUUGUUUGCUAUUAAUUUGAUGAAUUCUAUCCAAACAUUUUUAACGGUAGACAUAUGAGCUUUUGGUGCUACAGUUCAUAUUUUCAAAGAAGUGCAUAUUUUACAAUGCUCUGUAAAGCAGCAAUUGCUCCAUAAUCAGGUAUGCAAUAUUUAAAUUAUCUUAGUUAUGCUUUUAUAUGGUUAAGGAUGACCCACAAGGAGUAUAUAUGGCUAUCAUGAAUUUGCUACUAAUGAUACAACUCAUUGGGUUCAUUUGAUCCAUGGGAACCUAAUUGAUUGUGGAUCAUUUAUGCCUCAAAUUUAUUCCGAAAGAACAAUAAUGUUAAGAGGGAUUAUGAUGUUAAUUUUAUAUCCCUUAAUGGCUAAGUGAGAAUUUGCAAGAAAUAUAUGAUCAGCAGACGUGACAAUAUUUCUUAUGCGUUGUUGUGGCUACAAUCGAAGACGUGUUAGAGAAAAAUUCUCUACGUCAUGUGUAUGCCUCGAUUUGUUCUUGAAGUAACAAUAUCUUAAAAGAGGUUAUAAGCUAUCACGAUUUGAUAUGCUUAAGGUACAUUCAGAUGAUUGUGUUCCACUCCUGAAGAAUGAGAACCUUUGAUAAAAGCUAUAAAUAUAAGAUCCAUACCCUGAAGUGAAUGUGAUAAUAUUUAGUAAAGCUUAUCAAUAUAGACGUGCACUUGGUUGUGAAGAUAUCACGACCCACCUCCAGAAGAGGUAGAAUAUUUGAGAAGAGAUAUUCUGAAUAUUUUAUGCUUUACUCCUGAAGUAGUAAGGCUUUGAAAUUUAAUCCUAAAGUAGUAAAUACUCUGCAGUUUACUCCCGAAGUAGUAAAACUCUGCAACUUACUCACGAAGUAGUAAGACUCUGAAUUCUACUCCCGAAGCAAGAGAGAGCUCUUGACAUCUACUCCUGAAGUAGUAGAUAUCUGAAUUUGAAGUCUCUCGAAGAGGUUAUAUAUGAUAGCACCAUUUAUCCUAGAUCAAAAUUGCUACGAUCAGAAAAUAAAUUGUAAUAAACCUGAAGUUUACUAGCGAGAAAAAUGGUUAUCAUAUUGAGACUACAAAUGAUUGGAAGAUUGAAUAUCUCCGAGUUACCGGGUAAGAAAUACGUAUGUGAUAUGUUACCCGAGCAUGAUGGGAUCACAUGUCACCAAAAGUUUAUGACAUAAAAUCUCAUGCAAUAGUAAACCAGAAGUUAACUAAAAUAAAUAGCACUCGUCAUGGUAAAUUUGAAGUUUAUGGGUACAGAUAAUUUUAUCAGUUGACAAGAACAUUUUGGUCGUCCUGAUUUAAAUCUGAUGUGCUAAUUGAGUAUUCAAAAUAUAUUUAAGAACUAGAAGAUUCUUUAAGAAUUUGUUUGUGUUGCUUGUUCUCAUGAUAAGUUGAUUACACCAGCUAAUGUUGGGAUUGAAUCUCCAAAAUUUUGGAAAAUAUAAAAGAUGGAUGUAUGCCUCUUCACCUGCCAUGUGAUGUCUUAAAUAGAUGCCUCUAUGAGACGAUCACAUGUAUGUUUAUUGUCAACUGGCAGUUUGACAUUUACGAAGUUGCUUGAUCAAAAUAAUUGAGUUGGAAGCACAAUUUCCAGAAUAUGUAAUCAAGACAAUUCAUCUUGAUAAUGCUAGUUUAUAUCUAAGCUGGUUUGGCAUUGGAUGCCUCCAUAAUAUAGCUAAACCAUUGCUUAUGAGAACAGAGCUUCAGAUGUUGGUCUGAGAUAUAAUAUAUUGCAUACAACAACACUUGUAUGCAUCAAGCACCUGCAUUUAAAAAGCAAAGCAUCAUAUAUCAUAGAGUUAGAAUGUAGAAGUUGUAAAACCUCUGUGGAAUCAAUUUCGAUUUCCAAGGGGGUAUAGUUGAGGUCUACUGCCAUCUGAAGACCUUGGACAAGUGCGUUGAGUUCCAUCUCAAGAUGGUUAUUAGCAGGAAACUUGACACAAUACCCUACUUGCCACUGACCAGUGCAAUCUCUUAUUACUCCCCCGAUCCCUCCUAUUUUGAUGUUGUCCCUAAAAGCUCCAUCAACAUUAAGUUUAUAACUACCACGGUUAGGGGGAUGCCAUUUGAUCAUGAUGGAUUUAUAUGUUUUGCUUGUGGGAUGGUUGUUGGUCAUGUACAUAUAUUCCUGCACACGGGUAAUAACCUGGGCAAUAGAAACAUUAUUUGUGAUAUUAUUGAAAAUGUUAUGGUUUCUAUUUUUUCAGAUAUACCAAAGAGCAAAAGGGUAAAAAUAGCUCCAAUGGAUGCGGGGGUUAUGUAAGGUUGAAUUUACAGGAAGUUAUCAGCACGAAUGCUAGUCUUUGCUCAUCAAGAACUGAUGGUAGCCUGCUGACACAUAAAAUAUGUGGCGUAAGUUAAAUUUCAAUUCCUUCUGUCCACAAGGUAUGUUUGAUUUUUUUUGAGGUAUGAUUAAAUACUACUUCUUGUUUGCACUGAAUUUUGUUGUUCUACGACUACCGCCCUAGCUAUUACGCAGAUCUAACAGUGCUUACCAUCCUAAACUUCUGUCACUUUUAAUUAUACUAGAGGAGAGACACACUACAUAUAACCGUUUAACUUCUAAAUGCAGGUGAUUGAUGCAGUCACUGGGGAAUCCAGCAGUCAGGCACACUUACGGGGAGCGAAACAUACUUGUUGAUCUGCUAGCCAAGGAAGGGGCUAAGGGAAGGUCUUUUUGAUGGGAUAAAGAUUUUGGUAGUUCCUCAGAUUUUUACCACUAAUGUUAUAUGGGUAGACAUCCUAGAAACUACAUUUGGCCGCUUUGCUAAGGAAUGUAAUAUUAAUGUGUUGGGCACAUCCAUCAGACAAAUUAAGGGCUUGCCCCCUAUUAACAUGUGCUUCUACAAUUACACUCAUUUGUGGCACAUUUACACGAUCGUCUCUAUCAACUCAUGGUUAUGGAGUGUUGUCUUCCAAAAUCGAGCCAUGGAUUUUACAAGAUAGCUUGACUACUCAUCUGUUGUGCCAUUACUUGGAUUUUCACUGAUUUUUUCAAUCCAAGUCCUGGUUUCUGCGCCUCUGCGUGCCUAUACAGACACCUAUCAAAUGGACUCUGGUAAUGUUAUCGUCUCGUAUUUGAAUUUUGGGAUACAAUGUGUAUGCCUUAGCAAUAAGAUGUUGACAGUUCCUCUUGAGUUGUGCCUAUACAAGUACUUAUUUUAGUUCACACUAAGUAGUGUAUGAGAGAAACUGAAGAAGAAGAGGGGAACAAGAAAGGAAAUAAUGAAAACAAAGGGGGAGGUCUUAGCCAGAACCGCAUAAGCAAAUUUAAACCAGAUUUAGUAAGUUCAACUGAAUUUACUAACUUCAGGUUGAACAAUGUAGGUAUAUAUGUGGAAAUAAAAUUGUGUGUGUAUAUAAAAUAGAUCAGACCAAUACUAAACUCACUAAGACUAAAUGCUGGAUUCGUCUCUGACUCUUUAGGCAAUCAAACCAAGCUUGUUAUUUCCAUUUAAACAUGAAAGUCAUCACUUGAUCAAACAGAUACAUGUAUUUUAAACAACCACACC